UUGAAUAUAUGCUGCAAAAAAUAUGGUUUGAUUUUUAUAUAAUUUUGUUGGGUUUCAGAUCAUGUUACUGUGAGUUUUGCAAGAAGUGGAGGACCUGGGGGUCAGAAUGUCAAUAAAGGUUUGGUUUUUUUUUUUUUUACUUGUUUCCCUUUUUUUGUUAUAGUUACUAUCGUUUUGAGUUCCUAUAAUUAUUUGGAAUUUAGUUUUUUAGUCCUUGUAUUCACUUUUUAGGUUAGUCUGUGUUGGAAAUUUGAUAAGUAAAUGCUAGAAGAUUAUAGAAGUAUGGCAUAUUCCUAUUUUCAUGAUUAAGAAAAGCUAUAAUUGAACCCUUGGAAAUUAGGAGGCACUGUUUGCUUAUUUGCUCAAGGGAUAAGAAUUCAUUUUCUUAUAUGUUAAGAACAAAAAGCAUAUAUAAAGGCAUGCUUGUAUAUCAUGUUGAGUUAAUUUGUAAAAGAAAAAAAUCUUAAUAGCUGAGGAAAUGAACAUGGACAAAGAUUUAGGGACGAUACCUUCAAUUUGGUUCAAGUAAGACAUUUCUUUAAUGACAAAGAAUAAUAACAUGUUAUGCUAGCAUUUACUUGAAUUUCCAACACUGCCUCCCUUAAAUCAAGCUUCUAAACUUAUCAUUUCAACCUUAUUUUUCUUCUUCAAAUUGUAAAAUAACUCAAUCUUCAAAGGUUUUUUAAAAAUAUCCACAACUUGUU
rnacentral:lncRNA from 1 species